CACCUCGAGUAGCAGCUGAGGCCUGAAGCACUGCAUCUAGAGCAGUGGUUUUCAAAGUAUGGUCUCUGAGACAACAGCAUCACCUGGGAUGUAGUAAAAAUGCAGAUUCCCAGGGCUUGUCUCAGACUUUCUGAGUCAGAAACUUGGUGGGGUGCAGUGGGGGGGGUGGGGGGGGCAGUAAUCUGCAUUUUAACAAGUCCUCCAGGUGAUUCUAAUUCAAUUUAAAGUUUGAGAACCAUUGACGUAGUCUGGACUCCAGAAAAUCAUCUUGGAAAUUUUGAGCCCUGCUGGAUUACAGGCAGGAGGGCGGCAGGGAAGGACCCUGCUUUAAGCUAUUGCAGUCAUUUCCUCCCUAGUGUAAAUGGGGAUGGGAGUGGAGGUGGAGGGGGUGAAGGUGAGAACACCGGAGGCAGAGAGGCUGAGGAGGUAGAGGAGCACAUCUUUUCUGCCUUCCCUGUGGAAGCAGGAUCCACCCAGUGCAAUGAUAAAGCAGCUGCCUGAAUAGGAUCCUGCCCUCUGUUUCACAGGCAUGGGGUCUGCAAAUGCGUCUGGAAGGGUUACAUGGUGGGAUAGAGUUAGGUGAGAUGGCCACAGGGAGGAUCUCAGGAUCAGUCCGGAGAUCAACCCUAACUGGCUGCUGUGUACAACCUGCACAACAGUACAUGGUAGCCCUGCUCAGGAAACAGGAGCUGAAAUAAAUAGAAGCUUCAUCCUCAGAGCAAAGAAGAGAUAUGAAGGCGAAUGCCAGGGUUGAGGGGGGCAGUAGAUGAAAGAGAAGAUGAGCUCCAGAACAAGGUGUUUUAAGGGAUUUGUUCUGAUCAGGUCUGGUAAGACACACAGACACCGAAAUGACUCAUUGUAAUUGCCAAAGCCAAUGCACUGAGAAUAGCAGCGGUUUUUUUUUUUUGGUUUUUUUUUUUUUGUUUUUUUGCAGCAAAUAAACAGUUUAAUAAUCACAGGGCCAGCCAAGUGGAAGAAUGAGAGUUAGCUCUUAAAUCCAUCUCCCCAAGAAUUUGGAGGCUAGAGUUUUUCAGGGAUCAUUUGGUGGGCAGGCAGCCAAGGAAUGGGGAGUGCUGAUUGGUAGGUUGGAGGCUGAAAUCAUGGGGGUCGAAGCUAUCUUCUUGUGCUGAGUCCAUUCCGGGGUGGGGGUCAUAAGACCAGUCGAGCCAGUUCCAUGGUAUGGGUUACUGGUCCGGGUGGUGCCAGCUGGUCUAUCAGAAUGCAAGGUCUGAAAGGUACCUCAGAUGCCAGUUUUAGUUUUUACAAAAGUGGUGUUCUCUAUAGAAGCGUUUGGGGGAGGUUACAAAUCUUGUGACCUCUGGCCACACAACUACUAAACCCCAUUCUAUCCUCGUUGCUAAUUUUUUAUUGGUUUUACAAAGGCAAUUUUGGUCCCUGAGCAAGGUGGGGGUUAGUUUCAGGAAGGGGCAGUUAUGAUCUUUGUUUUAAAGUGAAACUAUAAACUAAAUUCCUCUCCUGUUUAGCUUGGCCUACACCCAGGAAGGAGCAAAGGCAGUUAGCUUGUGAGAUUAGAAGCAAGACGGAGUCAUUUGGGUCAGAUUUUUCUCAUUGCCAUAAUUUCUGUCAGAUUUCUCUCAUUGUCACAAAUUUUACAAAGGCGAUUUCAUUAUGAAGAAAGGUUUUUUGGUUGUUUUUGUUUGCUUGUUUGUUUGUUUUUGAGACAGGGUCUCACUUUGUCACCCAGGCUGGAGUGUAGUGACACAAUCUCAGCUCACUGCAGCCUCCAGUUUCCUGGCCCAGGUGAUCCUCCCACCUCCACCCCACCCAGUAGCUGGGACUACAGGCCUGUGCCACCACGCCUGGCUAAUUUUUUUGUGUUUUUAGUAGAGAAGGGAUUCACCAUGUUGAAACCAGGUUCAAGACCACCAGACUGGUCUUGAACUCCUGAGCUCAAGUGAUCCUCCUGCCUUGGCUUCCCAAAGUGCUGGGAUUACAGACGUGAGCCACUGCACCUGGCUGAAGGAAGAAGUUUAUUAUACUCACAGAUUCUCUAGAAACAGGAGACAUGGCCCACCGCACCAGGGGACACAGGAGGAAGCCCCAGGCUGGGCAGGAGGAAGAGGGGGCCAGGAGAAAACGAGAGCAACAGUCUUUACCGUGGUUUCCAGGGGAUGAGCGGGUGAGGCAAGACCCCUGCUCCACACUCCUGACCCAGACUGACUGCUCCCAGGCAGAGACAAAGAACAGCAAAGAGUGCCAAGGGGCAGGCCCGGAGCGAGCAUCUGCAGCGGCCUCGUGCCCUCUCCCCCGCAUGUUCUUGUGUGGCUGCCAGCCCUGGGAAGUGUGUGUGAUUCACAGACAUCCUCAAGAUUACUCAGUCUCAGAUAUUUCUUUAAAGCAACACAAGAACAGCCUAAUACAGAGCCUAAGGGACUGUGGGACAUCAAGUGCACCAACAUAUGCAUAAUGAGAAUUCCAGAAGGAGAAGAGAGGAGAGGAGAGCAGGAAGCAGAAGAAGAAGCAGAAGAAAUGGAAGUGGAAGAAAGAAGAAGAAAAAGAAGAAGGAGAAGGAG
rnacentral:lncRNA from 1 species